UAAUACGUAGGCAGCAAACGUUGUUCGGAGUUACUGGGCGUAAAGAGUACGUAGGCGGUUUGCCAAGUUUGGUGUGAAAUCUCCUGGCUUAACUGGGAGGGUGCGCCGAAUACUGGCGGGCUUGAGUAUUGGAGAGGAAAGCGGAAUUCCUGGUGUAGCGGUGAAAUGCGUAGAUAUCAGGAGGAACACCGGUGGUGUAGACGGCUUUCUGGACAAUCACUGACGCUGAGGUACGAAAGCGUGGGUAGCAAACAGGAUUAGAUACCCUGGUAGUCCACGCCCUAAACGAUGCAAACUUGGUGUAGGCAGUUCAGUCUGUCUGUGCCGGAGCUAACGCGUUAAGUUUGCCGCCUGGGGAGUACGGUCGCAAGGCUG
rnacentral:rRNA from 1 species